rnacentral:lncRNA from 1 species
UUCUUUGAGGAUUAUGAAAAUUUUCUCAACAUAAAAAAUUAAGUAGACAUCUUAUAAUUUCCAAUGCAUUUGAUCCCACCUAAAAAUCAUGAAAAAUGAAUGAGUUAUGUUCUUGGGAAGUUGACCCAAAAUUAGGGUUUCAGUCAAAAUGACCUAUACUUUUUUGAAAUGGAUGAGGACCUUCCAAGAUUUAAAUCAAUUUUUGAUGAACAUGAAAGUUG